AAAAAUAGAGCGAGUGUUCGCGGAGCUGGAGGAAAACGCUCCUGGAAAUAUCUCCUACAAACCGCUGGAAAUGCGACUUUCUUUCGCUCUGAGCUGCUUCCAGGUUUGGUUUUGAUCAACUUAAUUGCAUCCUAGAAGAGGAGGAACACCUGGAGUGUAAAUCAAAGAACCAAGGAGACAGGUCCUCUACUCCUAGACCACAUUUCCCAUGGAGCCUUGCACCGACACGCUCACCGUUCUCCCACGGAGCAACCAUUCAGGGUUUUGGACCCAAAGAACCAGUGAAACUCAAGUGGGGCUGUUGUGAUUUCACUAUCAG